GAUGAAGAACGCAGCGAAAUGCGAUAAGUAAUGUGAAUUGCAGAAUUCAGUGAAUCAUCGAAUCUUUGAACGCACAUUGCGCCCGCCAGUAUUCUGGCGGGCAUGCCUGUUCGAGCGUCAUUACAACCCUCAGGCCCCCGGGCCUGGCGUUGGGGAUCGGCGGAAGCCCCCUGUGGGCACACGCCGUCCCCCAAAUACAGUGGCGGUCCCGCCGCAGCUUCCAUCGCGUAGUAGCUAACACCUCGCGACUGGAGAGCGGCGCGGCCACGCCGUAAAACACCCAACUCUUCUGAAGUUGACCUCGAAUCAGGUAGGAAUACCCGCUGAACUUAAGCAUAUCAAUAAGCGGAGGA
rnacentral:misc_RNA from 1 species